rnacentral:rRNA from 1 species
UACGGGGGGGGUAAGCGUUGUUCGGAAUUACUGGGCGUAAAGGGCUCGUAGGCGGCCAACUAAGUCAUACGUGAAAUCCCUCAGCUUAACUGGGGAACUGCGUGUGAUACUGGAUGGCUUGGAUGUGGGAGAGGGAUGCGGAAUUCCAGGUGUAGCGGUGAAAUGCGCAGAUAUCAGGAGGAACACCGGUGGCGAAGGCGGGUCUCUGGGCCGUAACUGACGCUGAGGAGCGAAAGCGUGGGGAGCGAACAGG